AGCGAACGCUGGCGGCAGGCUUAACACAUGCAAGUCGAGCGGGCACUUUCGGGUGUCAGCGGCGGACGGGUGAGUAACGCGUGGGAACGUGCCCUCUGGUUCGGAAUAACUCAGGGAAACUUGAGCUAAUACCGGAUACGCCCUUUUGGGGAAAGGCCUGCUGCCGGAGGAUCGGCCCGCGUCUGAUUAGCUAGUUGGUGAGGUAACGGCUCCCCAAGGCGACGAUCAGUAGCUGGUCUGAGAGGAUGAUCAGCCACACUGGGACUGAGACACGGCCCAGACUCCUACGGGAGGCAGCGGUGGGGAAUAUUGGACGAUUAGCGCAAGCCUGAUCCAGCCAUGCCGCGUGAGUGAUGAAGGCCUUAGGGUUGUAAAGCUCUUUUAUCCGGGACGAUAAUGACGGUACCGGAGCAAUAAGCCCCGGCUAACUUCGUG
rnacentral:rRNA from 1 species